GGGACUCUAACACAGUCAACGCUUUUCUAAAUCAAGGUAAAGUCUGCUGGAAUUUCAAAGAGUGCACAGUGAAUGCUAAGCACUGGGGAAGUUGGAUCCCAGGAAGCAAAAAUACUUUGGCUUACCUUAUGGACUACUUGGAGGAAAUAAAGGUUCAUCUGUGAUCUGUCUUGGGGAGUAUGCACACUUGAUUGCAGCAUCGAGUGGACAGCCAACAACCUAGAUGGCUUUAAGAAGGGUUUGGAUAACUUCGUGGAGGAGAGGUCUAUCAACGGCUACUAGUCGGAGGGCUGUGGGCCACCUCCAGCUUCAAAGGCAGGAUACCUCUGAGUACCAGUUGCAGGGGAGUAACAGCAGGAGAAAGGGCAUGCCCUCACCUCCUGCCUGUGGCUUCCAGCAACAUCUGGUGGGCCACUGUGCGAAACAGGAUGCUGGACUAGAUGGGCCUUGGGCCUGAUCCAGCAGGUCUGUUUUUAUGUUUUUAUGUUCUUAUGUGCAUGUGUGAAUGAGUCAUUGUAGAUCUAAUACCGCAGAUGGAGCCUUUGUAUUGAUUCACAACAAGUGCUUUUCAAUUGAA